rnacentral:snoRNA from 1 species
CACUCUCAGGAUUGUACCUGGAGAUUUUCCAGUAAUCUACCAGUUGCGGCUAUGGGAAGGAAAGUCAAGCAGAGGCCUACCCAUUCCAUUCCUAGCUUGGGCAGUGGCUAGCAAGUGGAAGGCAAUCUGUUACAAGU